rnacentral:lncRNA from 1 species
CUUGAACAGAAAAGCGAAGGUUUUAUCCGCAAUGGAGCCGGACAACUCCCCCCCCCCGCACCCCGGCUUCGCACGGACAGAGCCGGGGGGGGCGUCACCUUCCCCCAGCCCUCGUUUAUGAAACUUCUUCCUGCUCCAGAAGAAAAGCAACUUCACAAAGAGGAAAACCUUGACCGAACUUAAGAGAAAAGAGCCUUUGGCAACGCAGCCGUGUCCUCUCCGCAGCCGCCUUCGUGCUGCCUUCGGUUCAACCUCUACCCUGAAAGCCCAGCGUAGACCUUCCACGGAAAAGCAGCCAGCCCCAUGGGCUUCAGGGACGUAGCUUAACCUACCACAGCUCAACUCAAAUUCCGCGUGCACGUCAUACUUCCUCAUCUCUUAUUUUGCACCCACCAUUUUCUUCGUUGCUUAUACUUCAUUCAUCAAGGCCUCCUUUCAUUCUGAGAAACCUUAAAAUUACUUCUACUCUC